GUGUUCAAGAGGCCAAAACAAAGCUGGCAAGAUCCACCUAGGAUCACUACAAAACAGACUACCUAGGAAGAGUAAAAGAACAAACCAGAAAACAUAUGCAUGUGACUAUCCUAGGUGUAGAAUUUACUAUAAAUAGCAUGAUAUUCUAAAUAAGUGUCUCAGUCACUUGCUUCUUCAUUUGUUUGUUUGUUUUUCUUCUGGGUUUAUCCCCUGAACAUGGUCCGUUUAAUUGCUCUAAUUCAGAUGGAAUUAAUUGAUUUUUGUUUGUUUAAGCAUUACCGGAGUAUACUUUCGUUAAUCUUAUUUGGUUAGUUAGUCUAAUUUGACAUGCUAAUUCAGCACAAUUGGUUCAAUUUGGUAGUUUUUUUCUUGAUUUUUGUGUUUUAGGUCAGUUUUUAGUGUUUGAUUGUUAGUUGAUUUGUGGUAUUUUGGUUGUUAAUUUAAUUUUUUUUAAUUAAUUGUUAGUUUUGACGAGUUUGAAUCAAGAAAACAGGAUGAUACUUCAAAUCAAAUCAAAAACCUAAUUUCUAUCAAAAACCAAAUUUCUAUAUUUUUGCUAAUAUUUCUUUCAAAUAUCUCAAAGUUUUAAUGGCGUAAUUUAAGAUUUGUAUUUAUGGAAAAUUUUAUGGAGUUUUGAUAUUAAGUAUUUAAGUACCCAUUCAGGUAACAAUGCCAGGGAUUACUGAAUCAGGAAGUUAGAGCCCAAUUCCUAAUGUUGACAAUCACCAGUUGUAUAUUCAAGUUCAUGGUUUUGAUACUCGGAACUUCGGAAGAGAUUGACGGAAUCGAACUAAGAUGUCAAUAAUGGAGAGUUUGAUUGUACUAUUCUCGGCGACCCUCGCGGUGGUGGCUCUCUUUCUCAAAUCUUUGGGAGGUCAUUCCUAUCCUCUUUGUUCUCAGUGGUUAGGGAAGCAGUGUAAAAUUGGGUUUGAAGCUUGACACUGUUGUACUUCAGUUCCAAAAUCAUAAGAUCUCUCAUAAGCUUGAAGUACAGAAGAUGGAAAUUAUGUCCCUUGAGAAUAAAUUGGCACAACAUUAAGAGAAGCAACAAACAUAUAAUAAGGUGUUGGCAGUGGUCGAUAAAAGCUGGAACAAGCUUCUCGAUGACUUCGAGGCCCGAUCAGUUGACGGAAAAAGCAUGGUUAGCAGUGGAGGAAAUAUUCAUCAUUUCGAAGGUUGUGGAGGUUAAGCAAUUUUUUUUUGAAAAUCACUCUUUUGUCUUGGAGUAGCAACACGCUAUUUUCAUCUAAAGCUUGUAUGUAUAUACAAAACUUGAGGGGAGUAUAUGGAGGAUUGUAUUAAGUUUUGGAUCACCCAUACUUCAAAAUGGAAUCUAGCGCUGACAUCAAUCAGGAACUAUAAAUUUUCUUUCCACAUACAAGUUCGAUUAUUGAAGUAUAUAUACUAGAGGAAUGGAUUUUGGGUUUUUAGAUAUUUGGUUGGUUGGCUCAUUGAUGCUUGAAAAGGGUUUCAAAAGGGGUGUCGUGUAUGGACUAGGUAUUUUAUUUUGUGUUAAAACUUUCAAAUAGGUCACUGACACUGUAGACUAGAACUGGACCUCCCCUGGUAGUUGGUAGUUGUCUUGCUGUUAUUGUCAACAAAAAGAAUCUUGUACCAACACUUUGUUUUUCCUUGUUCUCUGGUAAUGUUAAACCGAAAUCGUUUCUUGGUUGCCUGACUUCUAAGCUAAAGAGUAGGAAGUCACUGAAAUUGAAGAUACAAUCUCUUUAGCACCUUGUCAUUUUGGCGAUAACUUUAACGACUUAUAUGGGCUACUAACCUACUAAGUUUUUAGUGGCUUGUGCUUAUAUAUUGUAUACAUUUAUGCUACUUUGAAACUCUGGAUUCUUUUGUCAGCUCUUCUUUUUUCUCUUUUUUCUGUAACUUGAUUUUAAAAGAAAAGAGAAUAAAUCUUCCGACUUUUGUAAUGUGGAGGUUGUGAUGUUUUUCUUGUUGUACCGGUCGUUUUGGUGCACCGUUCAUGUGACUAGGUUGUAGCUAGAGAACCGAUUUGAUGUUGCAUUUUGGACCUUUUGGUUGAGUUUCUCUACAUAAUCUUACUGCAACGUAUUAAAAUGUGUCAUUUUUUUUGAAGUUCCCACACCUUAUAUUACAACUAUAGCAUGGUUUCUGGAUAGACAACCUGCUGUUCGGGAAAUAGAUAUACAUGCAUUGAAGUAGGAAGGGGGGGUCUAAGUUUUAGGACACUCAAGCUGCCAAAAUUUUAAACUCGGCUCAUCACAUAGCAGUUUGAAACCAAAUAACAAUUAAUUAGGACUAUUGAAGAACGCUAGGUGAUAUUACUGAUAUACUGGUAUUUAGUUAUUGCUCAAUCGGUUUUAUACCAUUCUUCACAAGCAUGAUAUGUUCAGAGACUAAGUAAAUAUAAUGUCACCGAUUUCUUAACUACUGACAGGAGGCAUAAAGUUCCAAAUUUUCACUCCCUCCGUUCUUGAAACACAAUGUUUUACUUGUCAUGUUCAUAUUGGUGGUUGUUCAUCGAUUUCGUGUUUAAUUGAGCAUCCAAGUUUUAGCAUCAAGUUAAUUAUUUGUUUGUAUAUGAAAAGGUGGGCAAUUUCUCAAUUUCAUUUGUAGAAAUGAAAAUUUGUUUGUACCUUCAUUGUUCUUUGUACAUAAUUCUCUGGUUAUAGACCUUAUAAUAGCUUCAAAUUGGUUUAAGAUGAUUGUCACUCUUUUGAAUGCAUAUUUUGUUGGCUUUAUUUUGGCACUCAGUUGUACCUAAAUAGAAACCCAGUUGGGUAAGUGCUUUUGCAAUUUGAGACUGGAAUUGAUAGUAACAUAUUUUCAGUCCACAUGGAGGUUUGCGAGAAGUUCUUAUAUUGGAAAUUUUAGAUAGUUGCAAUACAUGUCUCUUCUCAGAUGUUAAACUGAUUGUUGUCAUUGAUAGGUCAUAUUUUUAAAAUUUCCAAACAAUUCAUUGUUCAUAAAAAUUAUCCCUGCUUCCUGUGUAUGUCAUACUGUUGUCAGUGUCAUUUCACAAUAGCGUUGUUCAUAGAGGAAUUAGCUAGAAAACUCUUUUUUAUUUUUUUUGCGAGAAUCAAAUCUGGACAAAGUAGACAACCAUAUGCAAAUAAAUAAAAUAUUCUACUGAGAAGUUGUGCUUUAAAACCAGACUUGCAAGUGAUACAAAUAAAAUCACUCCAGUUUUCCCAGGAAUCUCAGCUAGAUAGACUAUUCACUCUGUAGUAGUGUAUCUGUUGUCCAUUUACUCUAUAAUCUUCACAUAACUCUUGUGUAUGGUUACAGAUAUGUUUUAUCCGGUGAAUUUAUCAAUGAAGUAUAGUAUUAUUUCUCCCAGUUUGAUAUCAUUGGCCACUGCCAACCAACAUAGUGCAACAUCCAUUAAAAUGCAGGUGGUGGGUCAUAUAUCUAUCAUACCAUUCAGCAAUUGAACAGUGAUGUGUGCUGGGUAUUGUCCGACAUCGGAUUUCUUGGAGCUCUUGACAGUGUUAACUGUAUUCUUUUGAGAUCCAAAACAUUUUCCAUAUGCUUCUGCUAUUCUUGUUUUCUUAAAUUCAGGGUUAUGCAGGCCAAAUUUGUGGGAUUUAUAAUUGGGAUUUCUGUAAAUGAAGAUGUUGGGUUUGAAACUUUAGGAUCGAGAAUUAAUCUUACGAGUAAUGUGAUGAUGGUGUUUCUGCUGGAUUUAGUUUGGGUUAUGAUUUUAUAGGGAUUAAGUUUGUUGUCUAAGUAGAUUUAUCUGGUUGGGUUAUGAUUUUCUAGGGAUUAAGUUUGCAGUCUAAGUACAUUUUCUGCCUAAGUUCAAAUAUCAGAGUGGUAAAAAUGUGUUAAAGGUGUGGUUGUAAUUGGUAAAAUUUCCAGAUUGAGGCCUUGAGAUCGAGUCUGGAUCUCAAAUGUGAUGUUAUGGUGGUGGUUAAGCGCCUUAAUUACCAGUACCUGAGGGUGGCCCUUUCAUUUCUACUUUCCAGAAAUCUCUCUUAUGAAUUCAUAAGAGAAACACUCCUAUUUGUGCUCAUUUCAUGCAUCUACUUUUCUUGUACUGAAGAUAAUUUUAUAGGAUUAGAUUGGUGUUGAUUUGAAAGUCCAAGUUAAAAAUAACUUGACGAUUUCCCACUGGUCCUGAUUUAGUUAGCGAUUUCAGUGUUUCAUCUGAGGCUCUGUAAUCUUGUAGGUAAUUUUUCUUAGUUAUCUACUUGUCUGGUUUCUAGGUGCCAACAAACCAAUUUAUGCACCGGAACCCUUAGACGUGGGCAAAAUAUUACGAGCUGAUGUUGUUUCUGAUAGUCAGACAAUUUCCGUGACAACUGUUGCUACCGUUGACCCUGCUCCUGGAUUGACAAGCUACGUGCAAUCGCUUCAGCGGAGAUCCAAUGCUGAAUUCCAUGUAAUGCUAUUUCUUUCUGCUAUUUGGAUACUUAUCUGCUGCAAGCCUACAACUACAUUUCCCAUGAACCUCUUUGAAUUCAGGUUUUGAUAUCACAGAUGAAUGGACAUGAUUAUCCAUCACAUUCUGUUCAUGUAUUCCACGUAGGAAAAUCGAGAAUAAAACUUAGUAGAGGAUGGAUAAAUAAAACCAGAGAGUCUUAUUCUACAUCAAUGCAGGUA